rnacentral:rRNA from 1 species
UACGAAGGGGGCUAGCGUUGCUCGGAAUCACUGGGCGUAAAGCGCACGUAGGCGGAUCUUUAAGUCAGGGGUGAAAUCCCAAGGCUCAACCUUGGAACUGCCUUUGAUACUGGGGAUCUCGAGUCCGGAAGAGGUUGGUGGAACUGCGAGUGUAGAGGUGAAAUUCGUAGAUAUUCGCAAGAACACCGGUGGCGAAGGCGGGUCUCUGGGCCGAUACUGACGCUGAGGAGCGAAAGCGUGGGGAGCGAAACAGG